GGAUCAGUGGCGAACGGGUGAGUAACACGUGAGCAACCUGCCCCUGACUCUGGGAUAAGCGCUGGAAACGGCGUCUAAUACUGGAUAUGAGCUGCGACCGCAUGGUCAGCAGUUGGAAAGAUUUUUCGGUCUGGGAUGGGCUCACGGCCUAUCAGCUUGUUGGUGAGGUAAUGGCUCACCAAGGCGUCGACGGGUAGCCGGCCUGAGAGGGUGACCGGCCACACUGGGACUGAGACACGGCCCAGACUCCUACGGGAGGCAGCAGUGGGGAAUAUUGCACAAUGGGCGAAAGCCUGAUGCAGCAACGCCGCGUGAGGGAUGACGGCCUUCGGGUUGUAAACCUCUUUUAGCAGGGAAGAAGCGAAAGUGACGGUACCUGCAGAAAAAGCGCCGGCUAACUACGUGCCAGCAGCCGCGGUAAUACGUAGGGCGCAAGCGUUAUCCGGAAUUAUUGGGCGUAAAGAGCUCGUAGGCGGUUUGUCGCGUCUGCUGUGAAAUCCCGAGGCUCAACCUCGGGUCUGCAGUGGGUACGGGCAGACUAGAGUGCGGUAGGGGAGAUUGGAAUUCCUGGUGUAGCGGUGGAAUGCGCAGAUAUCAGGAGGAACACCGAUGGCGAAGGCAGAUCUCUGGGCCGUUACUGACGCUGAGGA
rnacentral:rRNA from 1 species